UGUAAGCUGCACUUAAUGUGCAUGCGGUCACAUUAUAUUGCUGCCGUAAACAUUUGUCUUCGUGGUUUUCUGCAUUUCAGAAGACUACGUCUCUACAUGUCUGGUAAGAGCU
rnacentral:lncRNA from 1 species